rnacentral:rRNA from 1 species
GACGAACGCUGGCGGAGUGCUUAACACAUGCAAGUCGAACGGAGUGGCGAACGGGUGAGUAACACGUGGGUGAACUGCCCUGCCAUUCGGGAUAAGGCUGGGAAAGUGGGUCUCAUACCGGGUCGUGUGUGAUGGGCCCGCGGCCUAUGAGCUGGUUGGUGGGGUAAUGGACUAGAAAGGAGGCGACGGGUAGCCGGCCGUAGAGGGUGAAAGGCAAAAUUGGGACUGAUACUCAGCCCAGACUCCUACGGGAGGCAGCAGUGGGGAAUAUUGCACAAUGGGCGCAAGCCUGAUGCAGCGACGCCGCGUGGGGGAUGACGGCCUUCGGGUUGUAAACUCCUUUCGCCAUCGACGCGGUGGAUGGAGAAGAAGCACCGGCUAAAUACGUGCCAGCAGCCGCGGUAAUUC